UAUGGGCCGGGUUGGGUGCGGUGUAACAANGAACCAACAGAGGAGGUUUGAGCCGAGCGUAGCGAGACAACGUUGCGUCAGCAACGGCCCGCAGGGCGCUGCUCGCAGAGCAGUGUAAUCCUCUCUCGCCGACCA
rnacentral:sRNA from 1 species